rnacentral:rRNA from 1 species
GACGAACGCUGGCGGCGUGCUUAACACAUGCAAGUCGAACGGUAAGGCCCUUCGGGGUACACGAGUGGCGAACGGGUGAGUAACACGUGGGUGAUCUGCCCUGCACUUCGGGAUAAGCCUGGGAAACUGGGUCUAAUACCGGAUAGGACCACUGCCUGCAUGGGUGGUGGUGGAAAGCUUUGCGGUGUGGGAUGGGCCCGCGGCCUAUCAGCUUGUUGGUGGGGUGAUGGCCUACCAAGGCGACGACGGGUAGCCGGCCUGAGAGGGUGACCGGCCACACUGGGACUGAGAUAGUGGCCAGACUCCUACGGGAGGCAGCAGUGGGGAAUAUUGCACAAUGGGCGCAAGCCUGAUGCAGCGACGCCGCGUGAGGGAUGACGGCCUUCGGGUUGUAAACCUCUUUCAGCACCGACGAAGCGCAAGUGACGGUAGGUGCAGAAGAAGGACCGGCCAACUACGUGCCAGCCGCCGCAGUAAAAC